GCAAGCGGUGGAGCAUGUGGUGUAAUUCGAUGCAACGCGAAGAACCUGACCUACUCUUCACAUCCAGAGAACAUUGCAGAGAUGGUUUGGUGUCUUCGGGAACUCUUAAACAGGUGCUGCAUGGCUGUCGUCAGCUCGUGUUGUGAAAUAAUGGGUUAAGUCCCGCAACGAGCGCAACCCUUAUCCUUUGUUGCCAGCGGUUCGGCCGGGAACUCAAAGGAGACUGCCAGUGAUAAACUGGAGGAAGGUGGGGAUGACGUCAAGUCAUCAUGGCCCUUACGAGUAGGGCUACACACGUGCUACAAUGGCGUAUACAAAGAGAAGCGACCUCGCGAGAGCAAGCGGACCUCAUAAAGUACGUCGUAGUCCGGAUUGGAGUCUGCAACUCGACUCCAUGAAGUCGGAAUCGCUAGUAAUCGUAGAUCAGAAUGCUACGGUGAAUACGUUCCCGGGCCUUGUACACACCGCCCGUCACACCAUGGGAGUGGGUUGCAAAAGAAGUCGGUAGCUAAUCUUCGGGAGGGCAGCUAUAC
rnacentral:rRNA from 1 species